CUAAACAUUUUUAUUUCAAAUCUCUUUUCACCCCUCCCCAAAAAGACAUGGGUCGGUACAGCAAUCAUAAAAAGGAGAUACAAACACAAGAGUCAAAGGUCUCCCGCACUGACACUUACAAAACCUGGGAAUUGUACAUGGGAUUUCCAAACAGGACCUGCAGCAGCUACUAAUGUCCCUUUACAAGAGUCAAACAUGCCUAUUAAUACAGUAUAUACAGACACCCCAUUCUGGACCUAGUCUACAGGGACAUCCCAAUGCCCACCCCUCUAUACCCAGAAAAAUACCAAAACACACCCAAAGUGCAUUUGUUUUGUUUAUAUCAAAACAUCUUUCCCUCUCCCUAGCCCUCCCUCAGGCCCUCCCCCCCCCAUUUAAGAUUGGCCUGCAAGUCUAUUUUAACCAUUUAGUCAUUUUUUAUAGUUUAUGAAAAUAAAUUAUACAGCAACUAUUUUAAUAAAUUAAGCACAAAAGGGGAGAGGGAAAGGACAACUAAAUGGGAAGACAAAAGCCAGGCCACGCUUUGGCUUGGAGGGCAGGGGUGGCUAAUUGGGACAGGGUGGUUGCAGGGAGUGGCUCCCCUUCUAGUGAACUGGCAACCACAUGAAGCCAGAACGACACCCUUCAUCAUGGACUUCCUUAAAAACAACCAAAAUGUACAGCAGUGGCUGUGCCAUGGCAAUACCGCUUUGGGCAUCCCAACAACUGGCCUGCCCACAGGGUGGUGCCCGGAUCCUGCCUGUCCUAUGAAGCACCAGGGAUGGAGUGGUUAGACCAGCCUGCCACUCCAUCGGAGCUGGUUAGGGAGCUGCGGACACAGCCGAGUGUGGCUGUGUACAGGUACAUGAUUAGCCCGGAUGGGUUCUAAUGAAUAGUGUCCUGUUUUCUUUAUGUUUUUGUCUCCAGGAGCAACUACAAUCGCAGUCCAGCUGCGACCUGAUAUAGGUGUCUUCUCGCCAUGGUUGGCUGCUUUUGCCGGCCCCUUUAUGCCUCCUGGCAUGGAGGAGUAGGAGAGGGGAAGGGAGCACUUCUAGGAACCCUCUAAAACCUGCUGAAUGAAAUGGGAGUGAAGGCAUGUCACAAACUCAGCAUGCAGGGCUGGCUUCCUGGGAGGUAGAUGAGAGUGGGAAGGAAUGGGAAAAGGUGCAGAGAGGGCAGGAAAGGAGACAGGAACAACUAGGUGAUCCCCCUACCCCAAUACACCCCGUGCCCCAAAAAGCAAUGAAAAGGACAAAGAUGACAUGAAAUCUGCUGUAAGAAAGGUCUCUUCCUCUGGCAGAUUAGAGAAUCCAUAUUGUAAAUGCAACUCAUUCCUCUGUUUCUGAACUGCAGUACCUGAGUCCCCAGUGCCUGUCUCUGUGAUUCAACCCAUCUCAUUUCUCCAAAAACGUUUCCAUUUGCUCGAGGCCUCCUGUCAUUCUGUGCUGAGCAUGAGGGCUCCAAUGUCAAAACAGGAUACAUACUGGGACUUGUGGACUUCUGUGGCCCCAUAAUCCUACAGCUAUCAUAGUAUAAUAGGGCAUAUUUUUUUUCUUUUUCUUUUUUCUUUUUUUUUUUUUAAUAAAAAAGGUUUUACUCCCCAGGAGCAAAUAAAUCAUUUUGAACUACUGAUAAACACUGCUGCAGUGAAAAAGAAAGAUGGCUACAUGUAUGCAAUAGCACAAAUUCAGUGUAAAGACAGCUGUGUUGACGACUAGAGAUAAAACCCACUUAUCCAUCUCUCCCUUUCCCACAAACCAAACCAAGAGGAUUCCCAUAGGGAAAAUGUCUAACUCAAAAGCUCUUCCCCUACACAUGGGGGCCAUGUCAUUCUCUUUAAGUGGAAAACAAAUUCCAGUCCCCCACCAGUGGAGAUGCUCUCAAUACUCCAACUAGACACAAGACUUCUGCAAAUGAAGACACAUAUACUCAUUCACUCACCACACACAGACUUGCAGACCUUUCCAGUAGUCAGAGCUACAUCCUAGUGCCUGGUCCUCUAACCUCUGGGCUCAAAAUGAAGGGAGAGACAGCAGAGAGGAAAAAAAAUCUCACUUUGGGGGAGAAACCUCAUCCUAUCCCCAGUUCCUUCUGGAUGGGGACUUCAAGCAGACUGUGCUCUGCUGGGAGCUCAGUAGAAAAGGUUGGCUCUAUUCCAGUCUCACACGCCUGGACCUGGGAGUUCUGACCAUCUCCACUCAAUCCUUCCAGAUGAAUCCUGGAGAGGAUAUGCUAUCUCCACAUCAUUUCCAACCACACAAUCAGCCCAAAUGAAAAGAAGGAAAGAAAGAAGAAUCCAAGAAGCUCCCUGUCAUCUUUCUUCUCAGGAGGUUGAUACUGCCAUCCAUGUUCUCUUUUAUCUUGGCAUAGGUAGGAGACCAGGCCAAGGUCGUCGUAAGUGAUCCCCAAAUUAUUUCAAGGACCAGCUGUCACUCAUUUAUCUAGUUCCCCACACCAAAGCCCCCACCCUGUUACUCCUGUGCUCUAAAUAUAAUACAAGCAUUUCAAGUAACAGCAGGUUGCAGCAGUAGUUGACACUAGCUCACAUUGGUGCAUACCAAGCUGAGCAAUACAAUAGAUCAGUCAUAAACAAGUAAAGGACCUGAGAGUACUGACACUCCCUACCCACAACAGAGAAACCAACAAUGCGUCUCUAGAAGUAAGAGCCUUUCCUAGUUCAUGACUUUUAGCAUAGAAGUAGAGAGGAAUGAGUACACUGCACACUGCAUUUCCACUGGCAUGCUCAGCCCUGGACAAGUGCUAACCACCAGCCCUGCUCCUACUUUCCUCUGCUCUACUGACUCUAGCCAACCCGCACUUUAGUCAACAGUCUCAGUCCCCUUCUCUCCACUGCUUAUCUAACUUGUUCUAUACAAGGCCACGCCCAUCUGCACCAAACACUCAUACCUGAUGGAGAUUGUGAUGUCCUUUGCAGUGUAUUCAACUAAGGAAGGGUCAGGCCAAUCUAAGCUGUGAGAAAAGCAGAUAGACCACAUAUAUGUAAACAGUCUUCCCCAGGAACUGGUGGGGGAAGAGAGAGACAGGCAGUUGGGACAUGCCUCUGCAAGCCAGUUUGGUUUUGUUCCUGAGUGUAUGAAUUCUCUACUGCAAACCCCAGUACCACAAAGGUACUCACUGUUGACUACUAUCAUCUCCUUCAGAGUUUGAGCAGAUAAAGGUCAAUAGUGAGGGGCUGGGCCAUUGAUAGUCACUUGGCUGAUUUCUGGCUUUGGCCUCCACCUACCAGAUACUUUUAACUUUUAGACCUGCCUCAUGCCUGAGAAGCUUCCGUCUAGACCACUGCACUGAUCGGAUUUUGUAAUGAUGGUGCUCUGAAAAAACGGUAUACUGCCCAGCACACACCAUGCGGAUUUCUGCUUCAUCGCUUUUGUUCAUGUAUUUCUCUUCUUAUGCUUCCCCUGCCUACAACCCAAAGCCUCACUGCUGCAGCGCUCUCCCAGACCAUCUGGUCUUCCCUGAUCUCACCCACUCUAAAUGUCUUUAAAGACAGGCCUUGAUUCUCUGCUACAAUGAGUCAUUCUCCAAUUACAUCAUGAGCAGCAGUGACUUGAAAGUUCCCUCAGUCCAGGGAACAUGUUUACUAACUAGCCCACAGCCAUGAAAACACACUAAAAAAAUAAUUUUUAAAUUAUGAGUAGCUAAAAUGGGGGGUGGGUGGGAUGAAAUUACAGGUAGUCUGCAUAUUAGCCACUCAAAGACCUCAUUGGGUUUCAUACCUCAGGCUCUAUGGUAGGGUAACACUUUCUGCAAAAUGGCAAACAACUUACACUCACCAGAGGCAAGACUCACAGGUUAAGCCAAUCUUUGGAUCACAAUCUGUGUGUGCCCUAGUCCUGGGGCUUGAACUCAGG